rnacentral:rRNA from 1 species
CGGGCCCCUCGGGGCCCAACCUCCCACCCGUGUUGCCCGAACCUAUGUUGCCUCGGCGGGCCCCGCGCCCGCCGACGGCCCCCCUGAACGCUGUCUGAAGUUGCAGUCUGAGACCUAUAACGAAAUUAGUUAAAACUUUCAACAACGGAUCUCUUGGUUCCGGCAUCGAUGAAGAACGCAGCGAAAUGCGAUAACUAAUGUGAAUUGCAGAAUUCAGUGAAUCAUCGAGUCUUUGAACGCACAUUGCGCCCUCUGGUAUUCCGGAGGGCAUGCCUGUCCGAGCGUCAUUGCUGCCCUCAAGCCCGGCUUGUGUGUUGGGCCCCGUCCCCCCCGCCGGGGGGACGGGCCCGAAAGGCAGCGGCGGCACCGCGUCCGGUCCUCGAGCGUAUGGGGCUUCGUCACCCGCUCUAGUAGGCCCGGCCGGCGCCAGCCGACCCCCAACCUUUAAUUAUCUCAGGUUGACCUCGGAUCAGGUAGGGAUACCCGCUGAACUUAAGCAUAU